rnacentral:rRNA from 1 species
UUCCGGUUGAUCCUUGCGGACCCCGACUGCUAUCGGAUUGAGAUUUAGCCAUGCGAGUUGAACGUCUUCUGACUGCAGGAGGCGUAGCAUACGGCUCAGUAACACGUAGUCAACCUGCCCUGGAGACGCGGAUAACCCCGGGAAACUGGGAUUAAUCCACGAUAGGUCACCUCAUCUGGAAGGAGAGAUGGCCCAAAGGGGAACUGUGAGCAUGUUUCACUACUCCCGCUCCAGGAUGGGACUGCGGCCGAUCAGGCUGUUGGCGGGGUAAAGGCCCACCAAACCUGUAACCGGUACGGGCUUUGAGAGAAGGAGCCCGGAGAUGGACACUGAGACAAGGGUCCAGGUCCUACGGGGCGCAGCAGGCGCGAAACCUUCGCAAUGCGCGAAAGCGUGACGAGGUUAGUCCGAGUGGCUUCCGCUGAGGAGGUCUUUUACUGGCUCUAAAAAGGCUGGAGAAUAAGGGGAGGGCAAGCCUGGUGUCAGCCGCCGCGGUAAUACCAGCUCCUCGAGUGGUCGGGGCGAUUAUUGGGCCUAAAGCAUCCGUAGCCGGUUCUGCAAGUCUUCCGUUAAAUCCAGCCGCUCAACGGAUGGGCCGCGGAGGAUACUACAGGACUAGGAGGCGGGAGAGGCAAGCGGUACUCAGUGGGUAGGGGUAAAAUCCUUUGAUCCAUUGAAGACCACCAGUGGCGAAGGCGGCUUGCCAGAACGCGCUCGACGGUGAGGGAUGAAAGCUGGGGGAGCAAACCGGAUUAGAUACCCGGGUAGUUCCAGCUGUAAACGAUGCAGACUCGGUGAUGGGCUAGCCUUGUGCCAGCCCAGUGCCGCAGGGAAGCCGUUAAGUCUGCCGCCUGGGGAGUACGGUCGCAAGACUGAAACUUAAAGGAAUUGGCGGGGGAGCA